rnacentral:rRNA from 1 species
GCCUAGCCCUAAACAUUGGUGUUAUAAAUACAAUACCACCCGCCAGAGAACUACAAGCGAAAAUCUAGAAACUCCAAGGACUUGGCGGUGCUCCACACCAGCCUAGAGGAGCCUGUCCUAUAAUCGAUACUCCACGUUCAACCUUACCAUUUUUUGCCAAUCAGCCUAUAUACCGCCGUCGCAAGCCUACCUCAUGAGAGAACAACAGUAGGCAAGAUAGUUACCAACUAACACGUCAGGUCAAGGUGUAGCAUAUAAAAUGGCAGAGAUGGGCUACAUUUUUUAUCAUAAAAAAUACGAACAGCACAGUGAAACCUGUGUUCAAAGGCGGAUUUAGAAGUAAGACAGACAAGAAAGGCUGUCUAAAACCCGCUCUGGAGCGCGCACACACCGCCCGUCA